rnacentral:rRNA from 1 species
CUCAGGAUGAACGCUAGCGGCAGGCCUAAUACAUGCAAGUCGAACGAUAUUUUCCAGCUUGCUGGAAGAGAAAGUGGCGCACGGGUGCGUAACGCGUAUGCAACCUACCUUCAUCAGGGGGAUAGCCCGGAGAAAUCCGGAUUAAUACCGCAUAAAAUCACAGGAUGGCAUUAUCCAAUGAUCAAACAUUUAUGGGAUGGAGAUGGGCAUGCGUGUCAUUAGCUAGUUGGCGGGGUAACGGCCCACCAAGGCGACGAUGACUAGGGGAUCUGAGAGGAUGGCCCCCCACACUGGUACUGAGACACGGACCAGACUCCUACGGGAGGCAGCAGUAAGGAAUAUUGGUCAAUGGAGGCAACUCUGAACCAGCCAUGCCGCGUGCAGGAAGACUGCCCUAUGGGUUGUAAACUGCUUUUAUCCGGGAAUAAACCUCAUUACGUGUAAUGAGCUGAAUGUACCGGAAGAAUAAGGAUCGGCUAACUCCGUGCCAG